rnacentral:ncRNA from 1 species
UGGAAUUUGCCGCCGGGCAGCCGCCUCUCAUCCAUUCCGUUAGGCCGUUGAAGGAAUGGGUGGCGGGCUUUUUUUAUU